CUUUCCCUUCAAAAUUGAUCACACUGCAUAGGGAGCUCAGUGAAGCUUGGUCAUUGAUGUCAAAUGUAAUUUAGUUCUCCAUUCUGGAUAUUUACUUUGAAGGAUCAUCAGUAUGGCUUAUGAAUAAAGCCCUUUGCCACUCGUUGGACUGAACUAUUAAAUGAAGGCAAGAACCAAAAUAUUCUUUUGGCUCAUCUUCACUCCUUUGCCUCAGACUCCUCUCACUAUCCCAAAUGCUACAGGGAGAUGAAGUGGUGGGGAAUUACAGCCGCUACAUGGAGGUGUCUUUUUGCUGCUGCCUCCUCAUCAUUCUCCUUUCCAUUCCUCCACUGUGGCCUCUUUAAAGAGCUGUAGCGAAUAUCUCCUCUGACACUUGGAGCAUCUCCUGCUCCUGGAACAACCUGUGUCUAGUACAGGGAAGCCCUGAUCUCUUCUCACAGAGGCCACGCCUACAGUCCCCCAUUAUUGGG